rnacentral:rRNA from 1 species
CCUACGGGGUGCACCAGUGGGGAAUAUUGCACAAUGGGCGCAAGCCUGAUGCAGCCACGCCGCGUGUAUGAAGAAGGCCUUCGGGUCGUAAAGUACUUUCAGCGGGGAGGAAGGUGUUGUGGUUAAUAACCACAACAAUUGGCGUUACCCGCAGAAGAAGCACCGGCUAACUCCGUGCCAGCAGCCGCGGUAAUACGGAGGGUGCAAGCGUUAAUCGGAAUUACUGGGCGUAAAGCGCACGCAGGCGGUCUGUCAAGUCGGAUGUGAAAUCCCCGGGCUCAACCUGGGAACUGCAUUCGAAACUGGCAGGCUAGAGUCUUGUAGAGGGGGGUAGAAUUCCAGGUGUAGCGGUGAAAUGCGUAGAGAUCUGGAGGAAUACCGGUGGCGAAGGCGGCCCCCUGGACAAAGACUGACGCUCAGGUGCGAAAGCGUGGGGAGCAAACAGGAUUAGAUACCCUUGUAGUC